rnacentral:rRNA from 1 species
CAAAGGAAUUGACGGGGACCCGCACAAGCGGUGGAGCAUGUGGUUUAAUUCGAAGCAACGCGAAGAACCUUACCAAAUCUUGACAUCCUCUGACCCCUCUAGAGAUAGAGUUUUCCCCUUCGGGGGACAGAGUGACAGGUGGUGCAUGGUUGUCGUCAGCUCGUGUCGUGAGAUGUUGGGUUAAGUCCCGCAACGAGCGCAACCCUUAAGCUUAGUUGCCAUCAUUAAGUUGGGCACUCUAAGUUGACUGCCGGUGACAAACCGGAGGAAGGUGGGGAUGACGUCAAAUCAUCAUGCCCCUUAUGAUUUGGGCUACACACGUGCUACAAUGGACAAUACAAAGGGUAGCGAAACCGCGAGGUCAAGCAAAUCCCAUAAAGUUGUUCUCAGUUCGGAUUGUAGUCUGCAACUCGACUAUAUGAAGCUGGAAUCGCUAGUAAUCGUAGAUCAGCAUGCUACGGUGAAUACGUUCCCGGGUCUUGUACACACCGCCCGUCACACCACGAGAGUUUGUAACACCCGAAGCCGGUGGAGUAACCAUUUGGAGCUAGCCGUCGAAGGUGGGACAAAUGAUUGGGGUGAAGUCGUAACAAGGUAGCCGUAUCGGAAGGUGCGGCUGGAUCACCUCCUUUCUAAGGA